rnacentral:rRNA from 1 species
UUAAACGCWGCAUGUCUAAGUAUAACCUGCCAGACAGGAAACUGCGUACGGCUCAUUACACCAGCCUUAAUUUACUUGACCUUGACAACCUACUUGGAUAACUGUGGUAAUUCUAGAGCUAAUACAUGCACCAAAGCUCCGAUCCUCGCGGAGAGGAGCGCAUUUGUUCGCCACAAAACCAAGCGCCCUUCUGGGCGUCCAUUGCUGAACCAGAACAACUCAGCUGAUCGCACGGUCUUGCACCGGCGACGUGUCUUUCAAGUGUCUGCCUUAUCAACUUUCGAUGGUAGUGUACCUGACUACCAUGGUUGUGACGGGUAACGGAGGAUAAGGGUUCGACUCCGGAGAAGGGGCCUGAGAAAUGGCCACUACGUCUAAGGAUGGCAGCAGGCGCGCAAAUUACCCACUCUCAACGCGAGGAGGUAGUGACGAGAAAUAACAAGACCGUUCUCUUACGAGGCCGGUUAUUGGAAUGGGUACAAUUUAAACCCUUUAACGAGUAUCUAUGAGAGGGCAAGUCUGGUGCCAGCAGCCGCGGUAAUUCCAGCUCUCAAAAUGCAUAGAAUUAUUGCUGCGGUUAAAAAGCUCGUAGUUGGAUCUGUGCCGACUGGCCGGUCCACCCUCUGGGUGCGCACUGGUUCGGUUGGCUUUUCCGCCGGAGUGCCUGGCGUUGGUGUGCUCGCAAGGGUGUGCCAGCGCGGGUCCGGCAAGUUUACUUUGAACAAAUCAGAGUGCUUCAAACAGGCGUCUCGCCUGAAUGUUCGUGCAUGGAAUAAUAGAAGAGGAUUUCGGUCCGAUUUUAUUGGUUUUGCUGACCGAGAUAAUGGUUAACAGAGACAAACGGGGCCAUUCGUAUUGCUGCGUGAGAGGUG